GAUGAAGAACGCAGCGAAAUGCGAUACUUGGUGUGAAUUGCAGAAUCCCGUGAACCAUCGAGUCUUUGAACGCAAGUUGCGCCUCAAGCCAUUAGGUUGAGGGCACGUCUGCCUGGGCGUCACAUAUCGUUGCCUGAUGCCAGUUUCCUCGUGAUGGGUGACUGUGCAGGGCGAAUGAUGGCUUCCCGUGAGCAUUGUUGCCUCAUGGUUGGUUGAAAAUUGAGUCCUUGGUAGGGAGCGCCGUGAUAGAUGGUGGUUGAGUGACGAACGAGACCCAAUCAUGUGAGACCCCUACCGAAUUUGGCCUUCAUGACCAACAUGCGUCUUUGGAACGCUCAUGACGAGACCUCAGGUCAGGCGGGGCUACCCGCUGAGUUUAAGCAUAUCAAUAAGCGGAGA
rnacentral:misc_RNA from 1 species